AUCACGUAUUUAUCAGGGAGGGGCUUCAUAAAACCAGGAAAUAUUCGGGGCAUUCAAGGGACAGAUAGGUGUGGAAUAAAGAUGGGCUACCGAUGAACAUGCACAGAAGUGCAGGACAUAUAACGGACAAAUGAGGAACAUCUUCACCGGUGAGGCAACAAAUAACAGUUCUCUGGUGGAUUUCCAAGGAUUCGCUGCAUUAGCGACAACUCUGGCCCGCACAACAGCAUAUGCAUGCUGACACGCGCACAAAUAAUUAUUACAAAUAUCACACCUCCCCAAGGACAAGCUCCAGCCAACUGCACUCCGCUUCCGAUGAUGAAGUUCUCAUUAUGCUCGCAACUCAAUUGAAUGACCUCAGCAGGUCCUGGCUGAUUAACAAGUACCGAUGAGAGGCCGGAGAGCAACACUGAGAAACGGGCUUCCAUACAAGAGGAUCCGAAGGCAAGAGGAGAUGAAUAAAUUAAAGGAGGCAGUAUAGAAGAAAAAUUGAAGGAGAGAUUGGAAAAUACAGGGGACAGAAAAAGAGACAUGGCUAAAAGAAAUUGGGGCCGAAGCAAAAACAUAAAAACAAAACGGAACAGAAAGAAGAGGAGGAUUUGAGGUUAUAGCAGAGAGGUUUUCACAGAAGAAUACAUCACAUACAGAAGUGCUUAAAAAUCAGGCUUUUCACUGAUUUAUGAUGUUUAAUUGUCAAAAUAAAAGUACAAAUAAUGAAAUCUGACAACCAGACAGCUAGAAUUAGGAAAUAACAGGACAGGAGAUUAAAAAAGCAGCUGAUAGAGAUUCAGACAGAUUCUCACCACCACAAACGAUACACAGGAACUCCCAAAACAUCCAUAUCCUCUCCAGCACACUGCAGAGAGAAACCUGGCACUGAAGGGAUUCAGUACCUGAAGCAUCUAUUCAAAACAUCCUCUCCAGAAUAAAGCCAUAUUUUUGUGAAGAGCAAGGCUGACGGCACAUUCAUGGGCAUGAAUGCACAAAAUGUGCAUUUAAAAUCUCUUCUGCUCACCAAGGCUACAUUUAUUUAAUUGUGCGGCAUUUA